rnacentral:lncRNA from 1 species
GAGCUGGGAGCCUGUUGGCAGGUCCCUCUUUUUAUUUUCGCUGAGAGCUUUCUUUUACUAAAUGCCACCAUCCUUACCUUUCAAGGUGUCUGCGUGCCUAAUUUUUCCUGGUUGUUAGACAAGAACCCGGAUUUUAGUUGAACUCUGGAGCAAAAAUCCUGCAUCAUUUGUAGGUGGGUGUCAUUGUGACUGGCUGCUACCUCCCCAUGAGUCUUCUAAAAUAAAACCUGCAAAUUCACAUCUUCCCCAUGCUUCCAGAGAAUGCAUAUUCUUCCUUUGAAAAAAGAAAACCAGCACUGUUCAUAAUAGCCAAGAUUUGGAAGCCACCUAAGUGUCCAUCAACAGAUGAAUGGAGAAACUGUGGUACAUAUACACAACGGAGUGCUAUUCAGCCAUAAAAAAGAAUGAUACUCUGUCAUCUGCAACAACAUGAAUGGAACUGGAGAUCAUUAUGUUGUUAAAUAAGCCAGACACAGAAAGACAAACAUCACAUAUUUUCACUUAUUUUGGGGAUAUAAAAGUCAAAACAAACUCAUGGAGAUAGAGAACAGAUAGACGGUUACCAGAGGCUAGGAGGAGGAGUGGUGGGGGGCAGUUAGUGAUGGUUAAUUGGUACAAAAAAAUGGUUAGAAAUAAUAAAUAAGACCUAGUAUUAGAUAGGACAACAGGAGGACUAUAGUCAAAAAUAAUUUAUUUGUACAUUUCAAAGUAACUAAAAGAGUGUAAUUGUAUUAUUUGUAGCACAUAGGAUAAAUGCUUGAGGUGACGGAUACCCCAUUUACCCUGAUGUGAUUAUUACACAUCGUAUGCCUGUACCAAAAGAUCUCAUGUACCUCAUAAAUACAUACACCUACUAUAUACCCACACAAAUUAAAAAUUAAAAAAAUUUAAAGAAAUUACAGUUUGUUGGUUUUGAAUAUUUGACCAAAUUUUUUACUAAGCACAGAUAGAUUGAAUAUAAUUUUAUUGUCCUUUUGACAUUAUGAUAAUGAAGGUAUCUACACAGAAGUCUGAGAUGAGAAAAAAAUGAUAUAAUAUCCACCUACUACAUAGUGGGUAGUUUAUAUACUAAAGUUAUUGUUAUGAGAAAGAAUGGCUUAGGAAUAUUAUUUAAAAUUAAUUAAGGGGUGUUAAAAAUAAAAUACCAAGUGUAAAAAUGACAAAGGCAAGAAGAAACAGUAUAUAAUGUGAGUAAAUCUUAAUCUUUCCAAGAGAGGAGACAGUACAUAAUGUCUAAAAUUGUUAAACCAUGAAAUAGAAAUAUAGUUAUUUUAUUCAUAAUUAAGGAGAUAACUACUAUAGCACGAAAUCGUGCCAAAAAUGGUUGCCUCUGGGAAAUGUGAUUAUAGAUAUUAUAAUAUUUUGGACUGUAAAAAUCUGCUUUUAAGACUGAGGAAAUACAAAUAGGACAAUAUUUAUUUGAAAUUUGUAUCCUCAGGGAGUGUAAAGAAAUUAAUGUAUCCACAAAAUAAUAAUAGCUGCUAUUUGAAAACAUAGUUUUCUUGAAAGUUAAAAUAGUAAUAGUCUUCUAAAAAUUUUGUUAGUUUUGGUUUUCUCUUUAAUCUGAGUUAUGUAGAAAAGUGCUUAUUUCAAAUUAGGUAGGCUUGUUUUAUUCCUUUUUCUGUCUUUUUUCUAUCAACUAGUGUUUUAUUGUGUUCAGAAAAUGCCAUGCAUUAAAAGACUACUUUUGAGAAUUUCUAGAGAUUUUCUUUGUUACUAAAGAGAUUUUUGUAAUUGUUACAUGGGAUUUUAAAAAGAAUGUAAAUUAUCCUUUUUGUCAAGUAUAAUGAUUUCUGAAACCUAGCUGUGUCAGAAUACUGUAUAAUACUGUAAUAGUAUGUUGUUUUUGGCUAUGUGUACUUAUUUCUUAGAGUGGUAUGUUAAAGCCUCGACCUUGUGACUUUGUUUAUUUCUCUCUCUACAUCUAAACAUUUCCAAGACAUGUUAUUUGCAAUACCAAGACCAUAACUAUUAUGUAUUUAAUCAAAAUAAAAUAUUUCGGCUCUCUAU